rnacentral:lncRNA from 1 species
UACACACAAAAGUUUCUAGAAAAAUGGGGGAGACCAUUUUAUCUUGUUCUUUCUUUCUUCUUCUUGGCACCAAACACACACUCGAUCACACACACACAUUCAGUUCACCAUAAAACGUACUCCCUCACCGGAAAACAUACCCACACGAGCCCAUGGUAAGAAGAAAAUGAUGAAUAGGUGGCGUUUGACGGAGCUUCGGUGAAGAAGUAGGACCAACGAUGAGAAACAACUCUAUUCGAGCUUUGUUUUUUUGGUGACUUCAGCUCCGGAACCAAUAGCUGUUGUCAGUUUCAGCCGAAUCAAUCUUAUAAUCAUUGGAAUCUUGGUAUUUUUCCUUGAUUUAUAGGUAAAUCUAGCCAGAAAAUAUUUAAGGUGGAGGGACCGAAAUCCAUUAUUAGCUUUGAGUUUCCCGUUGUUGAUUGAACCAGCAUCGAUUUAUUCAUCUUUGUUUUGAAUUAAUUUCAUGAUAUUUUUUGGCGUACUGAUUUGGUUUUGUUCGAUUGGUUCCUCUGUUCUUGGCCCUUCGUUUAGCAUUGGUUUGGCGAAAUUCGGAUACUUUUUAGUCUCAUUCGUAUGGUUGCGGUCAGUUUAGGAUUGAUGUGUCUCUCUUCGAGUUGCUAUUCCUGAUAUUGAGUGGGCUGCAGAGUUUCAUUAUUGAGGUCGGUUCAACGUUUCGGACGUGGAUUCUAUCGAAAUUAAUCAAAUAAUACAUCGAUUUUGAAAGUGACUUUAAGGUCCAUUCUUCUUCCCAUUCUCAGUUAAUUUUAAUUGUGUGGUGUGGUAAAUUCAUGUUUUGUGGAUUUUAUUUUGUUGAUUUUGAUAUGUUUUGGAUCAUCGUGGUUGGUUGUUUAUAUCCAUCGAUUGGUUGUUGUGAACUGGAAUAAUCAAAGAAAUUAGACUCGAGUUGGGGUUAAAUCGUAAUUUAGGGUGAUAUCAAAGCCGGUUAAUUCACAAUUUUACUUAGUUUAUUUAAUUUGUCAUCUUGAUCGAUUUUGAUGUUGUUAAUCGUGGUAGUAGCGUGAUAAGUCGGAAGUAAUAAGAAAUCGUAAGUUGGGUAGGCAAAGUUUAGGAUUUGUGAUUGUUGAAUGAUGAAAUAUUUGUGGAAUGGUUUUGAUUUAUGCAUUGACAUCUAUUGUAUUUAUUUGGCUGGGGAAUGCCCAGAGAGAUUUGUAUUGAUUUAUCCGGGGAAUGCCCCAAAGUACCAUGUACUUGAAGAUGAUGCCCGAUCAAGGCCCGAAACGUUGGGUGGAGAAAGCAAUGGAGUGUAGUUUAAAAUUAGCAUAGAAUAGAGUAGGUUUAUAUUUUCACAUUUUUCUAUUUCGGGAUUGUAAUAAUCGGAUUGGACAUUAUAAUUUUGGAUUUGAUUUGUUUGUUUGUUUGAUUGAUUGUUUUGUGUGAUUUUCUGUGGUUUAUAUAUAUUCAUAAUGUCAAAUUAACCGAUACACUUCGCCAAGCGACCGUGGUCAAGCCACGGGAUCGAGGGGUGCCUAACACCUUCCCCUCGGUCAACAGAAUUCCUUAGCCGGAAUCUCUGUUCGCAGAUCAGUCUUUUAG